rnacentral:rRNA from 1 species
GACAGAGGAUGCAAGCGUUAUCCGGAAUGAUUGGGCGUAAAGCGUCUGUAGGUGGCUUUAAAAGUCUCCUGUCAAAGAUCAGGGCUUAACCUUGAGCCGGCAGGAGAAACUUUAAGGCUAGAGUUUGGUAGGGGCAGAGGGAAUUCCCGGUGGAGCGGUGAAAUGCGUAGAGAUCGGGAGGAACACCAAAGGCGAAAGCACUCUGCUGGGCCACAACUGACACUGAGAGACGAAAGCGAGGGGAGCAAAAGGG